ACCCAGUGCAGAGCCUGAUGUGUGGCUUGAUCCCACGAUUCUGGGAUCAUGACCUGAGCCGAACUCAAGAGUGGGACCUUCAACUGACUGAGCUACCCAAGACACCCCUUUAUAUUGUUUUAAUCACUAGGAAGUCAGGUCCUUCCUUUUUUCCAUGCUGGCUGUCUACCAGCUGUGUUUGUGAAUGUUCAAGAGAAGAUAAAGGAUGGAGAGCUGGAAUCAGUCAACCGAAUUGCUUGUCAGGAGACUCAGAAGAUUUGGAGAAAGGUGAGGCACAACCAACUAUUUAAAAUAAGAUCUCUAAGCUCAAGAUCCUGUUCAUUUUUCUCUAUGUGGUUACAUCAAGUUUUCCCAGCACCAUUUGUUAGAGACUCUCCUUCUCUCAUUGGGUAUUCUUGGCUCCCUUGCCAAAUAUUGAUUGCCUUUAUAUGCAGGAGUUUUUUUCUGGGCUCUCUAUUAUGUUCCAUUGAUCUGUGUGUCUAUAUUUACGCCAGUGGCAUACGGUUAUAAUUAUUAUAAUUUUGUAAUACAGGCACACUUUGAUUUACUGUGCUUUGUUCUAUUGUACUUCACAGAUAUUGUGGGGGGGGGGUUGUUUUUUUGUUUUUGUUUUUGUUUUUUACAAAUUGAAAGUUUGUGGCAUUCCUGCACUGAGUCUAUCUAUUGGCAUCAUUUUUCCAAUAGCAUCUGCUCACUUUGUGUUUCUGUGUCACAUUUUGGUAAUUCUUGCAAUAUUCCUGAAUUUUCACUCUUA